rnacentral:lncRNA from 1 species
AGGGAGGGCGCGGGGCCGGGCUGCUGGGUCCGAGCUCUGGGCACGAUGUCCUCCCUGACGCCGCCAGGACAGCGCCUGGCCCAGGCCUGGGCCUGGUGAACGCGGGUUUCUUCCUCUGAGGUUCAACACUCCGCACUUGGGUUGGCUCCUUUCAUCCUGAUUGGUUUAUUCGCCACGUGCCAAGCACUGAAGAGGGCGUGCAGGAUGGAUACUUUUGGAGCAAAAAUAGCCCUGCUUCUUUCCUGGGGAGGGAUCGCACUUUCUAGAGGGGCGGUUUUCAAAGUAUGGUCUCAGGACUAGCAGCAUCGAAAAUGCUGGGAACUCGUUAGAAAAGUACUGUUCCACGCACUUGACACCAAUCCACCCAUUUCACCUGCAUGAUCACCCUGCCUUUGCAUGAGUUGCCGGUGUGGACAGAGCAGGGACACAGUGAGACAGCGGAUUCCAGCUUUGCUCUUACCUAGAACACACUGCCUCUCACCAGGAAUCGUCCUUCCAUUUUAUGCAGUUAUCCCAGACAAUGAUGCACAAGCUUUGGGAAAAAAACCCCACAAGUCCAAAGGUGUACUUCAUAAUAAAGGCAAGUUAUCUGUC